rnacentral:tRNA from 1 species
GGCCCCGUAGUGAAGUUCACGAUAAGUUGCAAACUUGUAGAUGUACAUUGGUUGUGUGCCGGGGUCU